GGCAGGACUGGAAAGCGCGUUCGCCGUCGCCAUCAGCGAUGGCAUCAACAAUGGCCUGGUGCAAAUCCAGCUUUACCACC
rnacentral:tRNA from 2 species